UCAUUCUUUUGAAUAUCUCGUACUCGUUCGCUGCCCAUAUUUGCUCGAACAAGUUCUGAAACAAGUAUCAAAAUUAAUAUACAUUGUAUGUGAUUUUCUGUCCUGUGUUCAAGAAUCUCUUUGACUCGCCUGUUGGAAUUGUAUAGGCAUUUUUGUAUACUUAUUCACUGUACAAGCGUACUCGAAUUGCUCCGGAGUGAUCCCCAUGUCUUCCAUGAAACAACCAAGCAAUAAGUCCACCAGAUUUUUGUACUCCUGAUAUAUCUUUUGAUACUCAUCGUUUUCCUCGACGUCCGCUUCAAAUACUGUAAAAAAAAAGAAAAAAAAACAAAAGCAAGAAAAAGACAAAAUAAUGGAACAAAGUAUAGCGAACGCUUGUGAGAAAGCAGAAGUAGAUUUAAAAAGGAAAAAAAAGAAGAAUUUCAUCUUAAGGAGCAUCGAUCUUAAAGAAGAGAUAGAGAUUAUAGACUACACAGAAAGGUUUAUUGCGAAAAUAUCUCGACUUACUGAGUGACUUCUCUUCGAUGAAAGUGAUCAGAGGCGCGGACCAAAUUGGACCCUGAAGAAAACCUAUCAGGGAAUCGAAGACCCAAGCGCUGUCGUCUUUGUCGUUCAUUCUAACGUGAUACGGAGGAUUUUUUCUUACUAUCACUAAUCGAUUCCUUUGGAAUUUUCUUCGAUUUCGUCGAAACAAAGUUUGUGAUACGCGUACGUAUUAUUGGUGUCUCCUUUUAAGCGUAGUCAUAGUUACUAUACGGCAAAACACUUUACUUUAGACUUGCGCGAACGAACAGAAGCGAUAUCUAAAAUAGAUAGAAAUCUACACGUUUGAAUUUUCUUUAUUAAAGAAUAACAUUUUUACAGGAUAGGUAUAAUAUUAAUUACAUACAAAACAUCCUUGAUUCACAUUCUGGUGUUCUUUAUUUAUUAUACGCAACUUGCUCGCUAUGUAAGACUCUCCCCGUUCUGUAAAACAACUAAUUUAUGUUACUUGUUUAUAAUAAAAAAAAAGAUAGAGAGA